rnacentral:rRNA from 1 species
UGGGAGGAUUGACAAAUUGAGAGCUCUUUCUUGAUUCGGUGGAUGGUGCAUGUCCGUUCUUAGUUGGUGGAGCGAUUUGUCUGGUUAAUUCCGAUAACGAACGAGACUCUAGCCUAUUAAAUAGGUGCGUGGUUCUCUGCACCUUGCACCCUUCUUAGAGGGGCAAGCGGCUCCUAGCCGCACAAAACAGAGCAAUAACAGGUCUGUGAUGCCCUUAGAU